UAACACCUGGAAACAAGAUGCUAAUACCGGAUAACAACAGAUGAUGCCUAUCAACUGUUUAAAAGAUGGUUCUGCUAUCACUCUUGGAUGGACCUGCGGUGCAUUAGCUAGUUGGUAGGGUAACGGCCUACCAAGGCGAUGAUGCAUAGCCGAGUUGAGAGACUGAUCGGCCACAUUGGGACUGAGACACGGCCCAAACUCCUACGGGAGGCAGCAGCU
rnacentral:rRNA from 1 species